rnacentral:rRNA from 1 species
GACGAACGCUGGCGGCGUGCUUAACACAUGCAAGUCGAGCGGUAAGGCCCUUUCGGGGGUACGACGAGCGGCGAACGGGUGAGUAACACGUGGGUGACCUGCCCUCAGCUCUGGGAUAAGCCUGGGAAACCGGGUCUAAUACUGGAUAUGACUCCAUGACGCAUGUUGUGGGGUGGAAAGCCUUGUGCGGCUGAGGAUGGGCCCGCGGCCUAUCAGCUUGUUGGUGGGGUGANGGCUUACCAAGGCGACGACGGGUAGCCGGCCUGAGAGGGCGACCGGCCACACUGGGACUGAGACACGGCCCAGACUCCUACGGGAGGCAGCAGUGGGGAAUCUUGCGCAAUGGGCGAAAGCCUGACGCAGCGACGCCGCGUGAGGGAUGACGGCCUGG